UGAUGGUUCCCGAAUACAAGCAAUGCAAUUGAUAAUAACCAAAAUAUGCGAUUCGAUCACUGAAGACAUCCGCCGAUGAUUUGUUGGUCCCAAGAACGGAUAUUCCCCUGUGUCCAAGGAACAUCUGACUACCACCUUCACCCGCAAUCGUUCAUUAUACUAAUAACACAUAUCUCUCGUGAUGGUUCCCGAAUACAAGCAAUGCAAUUGAUAAUAACCAAAAUAUGCGAUUCGAUCACUGAAGACAUCCGCCGAUGAUUUGUUGGUCCCAAGAACGGAUAUUCCCCUGUGUCCAAGGAACAUCUGACUACCACCUUCACCCGCAAUCGUUCAUUAUACUAAUAACACAUAUCUCUCGUGACGGAUCUCGAAUUCAAGUAAUGCAGUUGACAAUAACUAGAAUAUGCGGUUCGAUCACUGAGGACGUCCGCAGAUGAUUUAUGGGUCUCAAGGAAAGAUUUUUUUUUGUGCCCGAGGAAUGCCUGAAUUCCAUUCAUAAAAGCAAUAAGUAAGUAAUAUACAUUGCUAUUUAUUACGUCGUGUGCUUGUUCUGAAUAACACAAAAAUAUUAUAUGAAACAAUAAAUACAAAUAUAAACAAUAAUGUAAGAAAUUUGAUGAUAUAGCGUUGUAUUAUAGCAUUAGAUGAUUCA